rnacentral:rRNA from 1 species
AUAUCAAUAAGCGGAGGAAAAGAAACCAACAGGGAUUGCCUCAGUAACGGCGAGUGAAGCGGCAACAGCUCAAAUUUGAAAUCUGGCUCUUUCAGGGUCCGAGUUGUAAUUUGUAGAAGAUGCUUUGGGUGUGGCUCCGGUCUAAGUUCCUUGGAACAGGACGUCAUAGAGGGUGAGAAUCCCGUACGUGACUGGGUGCCUUCACUCGUGUAAAGCUCUUUCGACGAGUCGAGUUGUUUGGGAAUGCAGCUCAAAAUGGGUGGUAAAUUUCAUCUAAAGCUAAAUAUUGGCCAGAGACCGAUAGCGCACAAGUAGAGUGAUCGAAAGAUGAAAAGCACUUUGGAAAGAGAGUUAAAAAGCACGUGAAAUUGUUAAAAGGGAAGGGAUUGCAACCAGACUUGCUCGCGGUGUUCCGCCGGUCUUCUGACCGGUCUACUCGCCGCGUUGCAGGCCAGCAUCGUCUGGUGCCGCUGGAUAAGACUUGAGGAAUGUAGCUCCCUCGGGAGUGUUAUAGCCUCUUGUGAUGCAGCGAGCGCCGGGCGAGGUCCGCGCUUCGGCUAGGAUGCUGGCGUAAUGGUCGUAAUCCG